rnacentral:misc_RNA from 1 species
GUUUUUUGAUCACAUGACAUCAUCAUUAAAAAACAUAUUUUGAUUAACAAAUGUUGUUUGAUUUCGUAUCAUGACCAUGUGGAUUCUGCUAGUUCCACUGCUUGCAAUUUGAUAUUAUAACAAUUGUUUAGUCUGAGACUUGAUGCUUAUCUGCUAAAACAACAUUUUCUCGUAAUUUGUGAUGUUAUUUUCUUGAUGCCGAUUUUGACUUUGAAGAUCAGAAUAUUAGAAUAAAUGUUUUCAUCUUUGUAGGUAAUGAUUCCCAUUGCAUUGCCUUCCGUUUGGUUGCUUCUUUAUCAAGCACAUGUUAUUAUUGUAG